UGACACUAGUCUAAUCCAAUAGCGUGUUUCU
rnacentral:piRNA from 1 species